GUUUUAUGGAUAAGCUAUUAAGGGCUAACGGCGGAUGCCUUGGCAUCGGAAGGCGAUGAAGGACGUGGCAAGCUGCGAUAAGCUUCGGGGAGCUGUUAACAGGCUUUGAUCCGGAGAUUUCCGAAUGGGGAAACCCGGUGGGUGUUAUAACCUACCAUCUCAUGCUCAAUUCAUAGGCAUGUGAGGCGAACGCAGGGAAUUGAAACAUCUUAGUACCUGCAGGAAUAGAAAUCAAUUGAGAUUCCGUAAGUAGCGGCGAGCGAACGCGGAGUAGCCCAACUUAGCGAUAUGGAUCGUAGAUAUAUAGUGGAACAGUAUGGAAAGGCUGACCAUAGACGGUGAUAGUCCGGUACACGAAAUAUAUCUUGACCUAGCUAGAAAGAGUACCACGGGACACGUGAAACCCUGUGGGAAUAUGGGAGGACCAUCUUCCAAGGCUAAAUACUAACCGAUGACCGAUAGUGAACGAGUACCGUGAGGGAAAGGUGAAAAGAACCCCGGGAGGGGAGUGAAAUAGAAACUGAAACCGUUAGCUUACAAGCAG
rnacentral:rRNA from 1 species